UGACGGCUAACUACGUGCCAGCAGCCGCGGUAAAACGUAGGUCGCAAGCGUUGUCCGGAAUUACUGGGUGUAAAGGGAGCGCAGGCGGAAGAACAAGUUGGAAGUGAAAUCCAUGGGCUCAACCCAUAAACUGCUUUCAAAACUGUUUUUCUUGAGUAUUGCAGAGGUAGGCGGAAUUCCCGGUGUAGCGGUGGAAUGCGUAGAUAUCGGGAGGAACACCAUUGGCGAAGGCGACCUACUGGACACCAACUGACGCUGACGCUCGAAAGUGUGAGUAGCAAACAGGAUUAUAUACCCUGGUAGUCCACACCGUAAACGAUGAUUACUACGCGUUGGAGGAUUGACCCCUUCUGUGCCGCAGUUAACACAAUAAGUAAUCCACCUGGGGAGUACGACCGCAAGGUUGAAACUCAAAGGAAUUGACGGACUCAAAAAAUUGACGGAUUGACUGA
rnacentral:rRNA from 1 species